rnacentral:rRNA from 1 species
UACGGAGGGGGCUAGCGUUAUUCGGAAUUACUGGGCGUAAAGCGCACGUAGGCGGCUUUGUAAGUUAGAGGUGAAAGCCUGAUGCUCAACAUCAGAAUUGCCUUUAAGACUGCAUCGCUUGAACGUCGGAGAGGUGAGUGGAAUUCCGAGUGUAGAGGUGAAAUUCGUAGAUAUUCGGAAGAACACCAGUGGCGAAGGCGGCUCACUGGACGACUGUUGACGCUGAGGUGCGAAAGCGUGGGGAGCAAACAGG